rnacentral:rRNA from 1 species
UACAGAGGGUGCAAGCGUUGUUCGGAAUUACUGGGCGUAAAGCGCACGUAGGCGGCUUUGCAAGUCAGAGGUGAAAGCCCGGGGCUCAACCCCGGAAUAGCCUUUGAGACUGCAUCGCUAGAAUUGUGGAGAGGUAAGUGGAAUUCCGAGUGUAGAGGUGAAAUUCGUAGAUAUUCGGAAGAACACCAGUGGCGAAGGCGACUUACUGGACACAUAUUGACGCUGAGGUGCGAAAGCGUGGGGAGCAAACAGG